ensembl:lncRNA
GCCCAGACGCGUCGAUUUGGAUGAACGCCAAAUUCAGCCUGAAAUCUGAAAAAGCUGAAAUCUCGCCGAAUGAGAUCACGCUGAAGUACGCCAGACCCCCGGAUCUGUUUGAGGUGUUUGUGGAGAAUGCAGAGGAGAGCAUCGAUCUGCAGUUGAUCAGUGACGGUGACACCAUAUGGCAAGCAACAUUACGACGGGUCGAUUACAGUGAGCCCAGCGAUGUUGCAGGAAGUUCACUCAGGGUCUCUGCAGCCUACCUUCUCAUCCCAACAACAGCCAACAUAGAGACCCCACCGAGGGGCAGAACAACCGGCCGCUCAGAGCAGAGAAGGGAUGGAAAACACACAGGGCGAGUGUCCAUGGCUCAGAAGGAUCUCAUUAACAGAGGAUCUGAAAGUCUUCUCAGAGAUAUGCUAGACAGUCUUCAGGCGGAGAAUCUAUCUGUGGUUAGACAGAGGGAGGUUAAUGAAGUCCUGCAGGGGAACAGAGUGCUGCAGGACCAGUGGAGCUCCCUCCUCACCAUGCUAAAGAAUAAAGGGGAGAGAGCUUGUUGCAUCAUGCUCCGUGUACUUAGAGAUCUGGACCCCCUCUUCUAUGAAGACUUGGGCCUGUAAUCACCAGCACCACUAUUGGUAUGGUAGUACUGUUUUUAUAUUCUCACUUUUCCAGUUCCUCUAUCUCAACAAAGUGCUAACUGUCUUGGAUGCUAUCCCUAGGUGGCACAAAGGCUCCUUAAACACAUAUAGUACCUCACCUGUGCUUUAAGGUGCUUUGAAUAAAAAUGUCUGCCAAAUGGAUACACUUGAAUGUAAAUAGUAUGUUGAGUUCCUCUGAGUUGCAUAUCCUCUUAAAAGCACAUCAUCUGCCCUCAGAGAUAGAAACUGUGGUCUCUGUGUGUAUUUGUGUUAUUUAUAUGAUAACUUAAAUUAGAGACAGUAUUAUUUCUGAUAAUGGCCUCAGAAAACACUGUAUAAAAUAUCCAACCAUGGGAAAUUUCACCUGCAUCACAUUAAUUGAUCUUUGUAAGACUGUCACUGAGUGCAACUCCUCCACCUCAUGUAUUGACCCACAGCAUUUUUAAGCAGGUGUUCAACAGUGUUUCAAGUCAUGUCCUGAAGAUUAUAAAUACAUCUCUUCAAACAGGCAUCUUCCCAGAUGCCUUCAAAACAGCUGUUGUAUAACCCUUAUUAAAGAAACCCAUCCUAGA